UCAGGUUACCAUGAAUCAAUGGCAUUAACAACUCCAACUCCAUUCGUGUCUGUAACUCCAACUCCAACUGAGGGACCAACACUGAUUGACUUCAAUGUCACCUUCAUAAUAAGCAGCCCAUCCUUCACACAAAUGCAACAGAAUUCAACUUCCCAACUCCUCAACCCUAACCACGCAACCAACAUCUCAUCCAAGCUGAAUGAGCUCUUCCACACCAGCAAGCUGAACACAACAUUCGCG